CAGUCGGGGUAAUAGGAAAUUCGAGUCUACGCAAAUUGCGGAGCUCCGAGGCUCGGCGCUAGUUUUGUUCCAAGAAAGGACGCCGCGGGGGAGUUGGGCGGCUUCUAACGCAUGCGUGCAGCUCCCUUUACCCGGUCGCCUUCCCUCCCGGCUUUGCUAGUCAGUUGCUGCGGCCCUGGGAAGGCGGAUGAGUAAUGGAAGGUCUUUUGCUUUAGCCAGGUUUCAAAUUGUCUUUCAAGUUAAAAGAAAAAAUUGUUCCAUGAAAAAAGUGGCCAUCUCAGCUGACAACUCAACCACCCACUAGUAGACCGAGAUAGCGAGAGCACUCAGCAUGCACCGGGAGACAAUGCAGACGACAAUAGACUUCAUAUGAAGGCUGGGCAGGAAAAUAUCUGGCUGUGGAUUAUAAAAAAAUGUUCUAAGAAUCAUAGAACGUUGGAAUGGAUAAGCCCUUAGAAAAGUCUCUCUUCCUCCCUUCUCAUCUACUCAGACUGUGAAGCUCCUAGAGGCAGAGAGGGAACACGUCUGUUUUUGCACGCCUCACCACAGCCUGGCCUGCUUGGCACACCAGCUGUAUGUGAAUGUUUGCUGAAUGAAGAAAUGCAUGCUCAGGGCACUGCGUGGGGCCACUGGCUGGGAAACCACAUGGAAAGAUAAAAGAGGCUUUCUAGAAACACCAUGAUCCUUUGCUCCAGUCCUCCUCCCUGUGGAGCUCCCCAGCCCUGACAGAUCGUUUCUAACAGAGAGGCUGUGACUGGUGAUGCAUGUGUGGAAGGACUGUGGCUUCGCUCUUGCGCAUCAUGUUCUGGCGUCCCCACGUUGUCUCUGAAUUUUUAACCACUGGAUUACUGCCUCAUUCACCACGAGAAGUACUGCCUAUUACACCCUGGCUGCAAUUAUGGACCAUGCUAAACCUGAACGUUUCAUUUAAAUAUAUACAAGGGGGGAGGGCACCUACAAAUUCAGGGCUUAUCUGUGUUAGGUGUUGUAUAUACGUGAUCACACUGAACCCUCAUGACACCUCUGUAAACUAAAAAUUAGUAUCCUUAUUUUUAAGUAGAAAUCUCAGGUUUCAAGGAACAAAAGUACGCACAGCCAGGGUUCAAGUCCAGGUCCACGUGACUCCAAGAUCAUUUUAUCUCACUAUGGCUCAGGCGAAGUGCUUACUCAGCACACGCAGAGCUUAAUUGUUCUCUCAUCCUACGAAAGGAGCAGAGACGGUAUAUUAAGUCAGCCAAAAGAGAUGGUAAUCUCUUGAAGGCAAAGGCUGAUUACUCAUCUUUUUGUGUGGCAUAGAAUAAGAAUACCUCAAUGUGUUAAAUGUAUCCUUCCAAAUGGGGUGCACGUGAGAUAAAUGUUGAUUUUUAAAAUAAAUUACACACAUACACAACACACUUUCUCAAAGCACGUGUAAGCAUCUACCUCAUUGCUAUUACAGAUUCAAAUUCCUGCAGAGAAAAUAAAAUUUACUUAUUUAAGUAAAAAGUGAAGUCAGUAAAAAGGAUGGUUUAAAUGCCAAAUGAUAAGCCAACCAAAAGGAUAAAAAACAUGGGUACUGAAUUACAUUUGCUGGUAUUUUAAGCUUUAAAGGCACAUUGGCUAAUAUUUCUGUUACACCAGGAAUAACAAGCAAGCAUAAAGCCUUUCACCGUGUAACUGACCCUAGAUGUGGUGUCCCCUCAGAGAAAAGAACAUGCAAGUACGAGAUGUUCUGCUCAUGCAAGACGGAACCUAAAUGAGCAGACUACAAUCCAACCGUUAGGAAAAUUACUCAGAUGACCAAUUCUUUACACAAAGAAUCCAAAAGCUGACAGAAUACUUUUUCUUUACUUUUUUCCCCCAUCUCGUUUCAGUUUUUCUGUGUGGGACAAAAGCACUGAACAAGAUUUAAAUCCUUCACGCCUUAUUUUUUCUGAAACUUAAAGUCUGAAAUUAGUUUAUUUACAUUCAGAUUAAGUCAGAAUUUGCUACUGAAAGAAUUGUACCUGUGUCUUUAGUUGCCGUAUUGUUAAUGAGUCUUUGCAGUUAAAGACAUGCAGGAUCCCACGGUGCUGUUCUUUGUUAUUCACUUUUUGCUAGUAAGAGUCUCAGUUUGAGUAAUUCAGAAUGUAAAGUCAUAUCAUAGAAAAACAGGACUUCCUCCAAUAACGGAGGCGGCUCCCUUAGCUUUUGGGUAAACUUAUCCAGGUUUUCAGGUUUGUGAUUCCUAAGUUUCUGCUUCAGAAUUCUCCAGGAUGAGUUUACUAGCCAUCCUAAAUUCACCCAUCAGUAGUUAAUCUCCAUGAACUAUAAAUAUGUCUGAUUAGGUCAAUUUCUGAGACUCUUUAAGAAAAAAUAAUUUCUUUCUUUCUAGAUUUUGCCUCCCUUAAUUUGUUUAUGUUAUCACAGUAAACAGACAUUCCUACCGUUUUAAUGAUGUAUAGCUAUGCACAGUACAUAUUUUCUUCAUUGCUCUGAAUGUUUUCUGACUGUUUACUUUCAGGGUUCCCGACAUCUUUUAGAGUAGUCAUUACCUGUCAAUGUCUACAUUGGCUCAUUUUUAGGGGGCCAAAUAUCUCUUUCCAUUCAUUUUGGGUUAUUUUGGAGAACAAUCUCAAACUGACUCCUGCAUAAACGCCCUUGUCCACGUCAUGGUUCUUACACUCGUGUGUAUUUGCACAUAAAUCUCCUUCCUAUUCCUACUGCUCCAUUUUUAAUGAUUUCCAUAGUCUCAGCACUCUCUUAAUUUUAAUUCACAUUUUUUUCUAUUCUUAAGUAUGAAUUUAUGUUAUUUCUUCCUUUUGAUUGGUAGCCACUUUAUUUUAAAGUCUUUAAAGUUUUUACUUUUGGUCCCCAUUGAGUCCUGCUGCUGCCGAUUCAUUAAUACACCAAAGGUUAAUUGCAUGGCACUCUCCGCAAAUGGGACACUUCCUGGCGUUCGUGCGUGCAUGCGCGCAUCUGUUACUCAUUGUGCUAAAGACAAUGUUACCCCAAAAUAAAAUAUUAAAGUAAAUGUUCAACUGUUUAACCUGUAGCAUAUACAUUGCUAAGUAACUAUAAAAAAGUGGAAAAUAAAUGAAACUUACCCUUUAAAGAAGAUUUCAAUGGAUGAUUUAGGGUGUUUCCCUUUUUAUUUCAGCUCAAUCCAAUUCAGGUAACAGUUAUAGAAGCCUGUCAUGUCCAGAGGCUGCCGAGACCACAAAGGGCAUAAAACAAGUCCCUCCUCCUAAAUUUACAUUCAUUUAGAUUAGUUGGAGUGAUAGGGUUUGCAAACCCCAAGCUUCUAUGAGAUGUUUUCCUUGAAGAGUGAGUACUAACUGUUUUCCCCAGCCAGUGAGGAUCUUAGCUUCUCCCCUUUUAAAGCUUCAGGUUGUUCUUCAACUAUUCUUUUUAUGUUGUAUAGCCCUCGAGGGUUUAUAUCCGACUUCCAUAUUUAAUGUAUUUUAAUUCAGCUUUGUAAUGAUCUAUGUAUGCAUUCAUGAGCUCAUCUUCCCCUUAGGAGUUACACAGGUAGCAGAGAUUAAAUUGGCAUGCUUUGCUACUUCCUGGCAAUUGCAAGUCUGACUUCAUGAAUACCUUUAUUCCUGUGCUUGCAUCCAAAAGUUCCAGAGAGUGUGAUUACUUGAUUAAAUAAAUAACACAAGA
ensembl:lncRNA